UUGGUGACUUUUAUGUAAUUGUCAGAGAAACUAUUCAGAGAAGUCUGGAUCAGAGGGUUCAGAAGAUCCUAAUUGAAGCAUAAAGCAUCCUAAUUGCCUGUGUUUAUUUGGUAAAGGGCUCACAGAGGAGGAACAGAAAGAUAGUGGUGGAGAGCAGAGGGUCUGGGUCCCCGAUCAAAUGUCAGUCUGCUGGACUGCAGCAGUGCUGUGCUUCAUUGCUUGUUUACUGUAUAAUGCAGCGGGUCUCAAUCAGAGUGUCAACAUAGGAAAAUUAAGCAACCACAAUUCAUUUUAUGAUUCUAGAAGUUUCAAGAAACUUCAACAACAACAACAACAAAAAAUAGUUUUUGCGAGGGAGAAAUAAAUAUGAUUUUAGUUCACAUCUUGAUUGUAUUUUUAGCAUUCAGUUAAUAAUUUUAAUAAUAAUUUAAGUAAGUAAGUCAUGUUGCAGCCACUUGUAUGUUUGUUAAAUCCACUUGGUUGAGAACCACUGGACAAAUAGAGUUUGGACCGAGUCAUUUCAAUCUUUCUGUUGGGAUAUUCAGUUUUUAAUAUUUGUAAAUUGAGCAUUUUUAGUGAGUUCUCUUUAGAAAUGUUUAUCACAUUAUUAAAAUGUUUUAGUUUGUCCAACCUAUGUGUGAAAAUCAAGGAGUCCAAAUGAAAUUCAAACCUGGAAGUACAUAAAGAUUUUUAGAAACUAGUAACAAAAGUAUUUUUUUGAUCUCGAAAGGAGUCUGCCAAGGAGAAACAGUUGAAAGAGAAAAAGAAGAUUCUGGAAAGCGUGGCUGAAGGCAGAGCUCUAAUGUCUGUGAAAGAAAUGGCCAAAGGUAUCACAUAUGAAGACCCAAUAAAACAAGCUGAAAUGUGCUCCGUUACAUUCUUGGCAUGCUGGCAGCGCGGCACGAACGUGUACGGAAGAAGUACCAUAUCCUUGUUGAAGGUGAAGGCAUUCCAUCACCCAUUAAGAGCUUCAGAGAGAUGAAGUUUCCUCCGGGUAAGAUCCACCUCACCCUGGUUUUCACACUGCCCAUCAUGUUUUGUCUGGAGCAGGAGAAACAGCUACCCUUCUGUAAGAGAGAGGGACCAUACAGCCUCAUCAUCUGUCCUUCUGUAAGCCCACAUCCUGUGUCAUCUGCCUGAAAAAUGAGAAGCCCAUUACCUAUAUGUAACAAAAAUAUUUCACCAUAUUUCAUCAUACAAAUCAUAAGUCAAGAGGCAGACAGUACAGGCACCAGACAGCAACAUAAUGGUCAUUUAUUUAUUGAGAGUCAUC